UAGUCAGUACAGUAAAAUAGGUAGUUAAAUUAGUCAACAAAAUAGAAUAAUAUAUAGGCUGUAUACAGUACUUAUAUAGACAUACAUAUAUACAUAUCUCAAAUGUCUCAAAUAUGUUUACCUGAAGACACGUUUUGUGUCUUUAAGAAGUAUACUGAUAUACUCAAGAACUUUAACUCAUUCUUCCAGUCGUUCAAACUGGGCUUAGUUCAAGGCAACUAUACAAUAAAAAACGCUUCCUUGGUUUAGUCGUAGUAUCUGCGUUCAUGUGUGAGAAAAUCUUCCCCAAGAUCAAGACAACAUUGUGAAUACAGUCCAAGUUUCUUGUUUUUAUCACAAACACCAAAUUUGACAGAAUUAACUGUCAAGGCUGACAAAACUUUUUUCCGUCAAUUCUGACACUACAUGAACACGGUGGCAGCGUCCUUACGAGCUAACCAGUCAGGACACGGCUUAAAUGUCCACAGUCAGUCUCAUCCAAUGGCAUCACAGCUUGUUGCGGCUGCAGCGUUGCCAACGACAACGGGUACUGCGUUCAUCUGUCGCUGAGUGUUUCAGAGACCUUGCCUAACGUUCACUAAUAUUCGCGUUAUUAAAAUAGUUUUUAAUUCCGGUUUCACAACAUAAACAGACGGAUACUCACUUCCGGUGUUUUGACGUCGCUCUGUAGCUUUUGUUAAAGCGAAGAAGACAUUUGGCCUGCGAAUAAAUCGUGUUAGCCAAUUAGCUUGCUAGCUAACGUUAGCACAUAGAGCUAAUCUCAUUGCUUUAGUCUCUCUUCGCCUUUAUUGUCGCCUUUAAAUCGGAUGGAAAGUUGUGAACAGCAGAAAGUGGACUGUAACUAAUGACCCCUGUAGUUUUUUGACCUGAUAACCUACGUGGAGGAACUGCUCCAUACUUUCCUCCUCUAAGAGAAGACACCCAGUGAAGACAGACGAUGGAGAUCCAUCUUAAUCGAGUGGAUUAUAUUCAAGUAACACCAAGUACAGACGGUGGUGUGUUUGGUUUAUGAUGCUCUUUUAUGUCUUUAAUUCUGACAUUGAAUUUUGACUGUCAAUUGUUGUUAUAAUACAGUUAAAUCAGAUUCAGUGUGAUUGCCAUGACACUGAGUACAGUUUAGCAUCUAACCAGAAGUGCAAAGAGCAGGAAGAUGUGCCUCAGCAGUAUCGCCUUCAUCAGCUGCCUCGCCCCCACAGGUGUCUGAUCACACUACCUGAAAGAUUUGUUUUCUUUAUGUUUUGUUUUUUCCACCAUUUAGGAUGUGACUUAAACUUUGAUGGGGACAGACAUUGCCAUCAACUGAAGGAACUGUUUAUUGAAUGUCAACUUUACAGCCUGUGCUCCAGCUUCUCCGUAUGUUUGAGUACAGGUGAAGAGCAGCCAGUAACGCACUGAAGUCUCAUGGUGAUAUUUGUUUUCCCAUCUUCUUAAUGUGAAGCGGUGGACACCCCUCACUUUGUCCCGUUCACUGAACGCAGCACAGUAGACAUCAACUGUGAUCUGUAUGUAUCGGCUGUUAUUAUUUUUUCCUCAUAUGUCCUUAUUUAUUCAUGAAAAUCUCUUAUUCUGUGAUGAAACAUUAACAUUUUGAGAUUAGUAACUUAAAUUAAAAUCUGCUUAUACAUGAUUAAUAAUAUUCUUUUUUUAAAUGAUCAUGUUGUGCUUGGGUGGAUGGAGGAUGGGGUUUGUUCGCAGUUUAAGGUAAGGUAAGGUAAACUUUAUUGUCCCCUAAGGGAAAUUCAUCUUGGGCACAGUGCUACAUUUCAUUGCUUCACAGGACAAGAUAAAAAUAUCAUCACAGGGACACAUCAUCACAAUGACAGUUCUAUCACAUAAAACAGACAUGGACUACAUUUAACAAUCACAUCACAGAAACAUACAGAGACGUCUAAAGUUCUACGUGGUCCAAUUUAUUUUUUAUGUUCAACACAUCUGAUGCUCUGAUUUGUCUAAAUGCCUAACUUUAAAUGUAUGUAUCAAUGCCAUCGACCCUUUCUUCUUGCUUGAUGCAUGCUCUGAUUUUUUUUCCUGCCAUGUUUAAUGUGUUUAUUUACCUCCAGACAAAUGACAUUUUUAUGACAAGAAUAAAAUGAUCUUUUAAUGAAACCAAUAAAAUAUUAAAGAACAGGAA